AGAGUUUGAUCCUGGCUCAGAUUGAACGCUGGCGGCAGGCCUAACACAUGCAAGUCGAGCGAGAAAGCACUUCGGUGCGAGUACAGCGGCGGACGGGUGAGUAACGCGUAGGAAUCUACCUGGUAGUGGGGGACAACUCGAGGAAACUCGAGCUAAUACCGCAUACGCCCUUCGGGGGAAAGCGGGGGAUCUUCGGACCUCGCGCUAUUGGAUGAGCCUGCGUUGGAUUAGCUUGUUGGUGAGGUAAGAGCUCACCAAGGCGACGAUCCAUAGCUGGUCUGAGAGGAUGAUCAGCCACACUGGGACUGAGACACGGCCCAGACUCCUACGGGAGGCAGCAGUGGGGAAUAUUGCGCAAUGGGGGCAACACUGACGCAGCCAUGCCGCGUGUGUGAAGAAGGCCUUAGGGUUGUAAAGCACUUUCAAUUGGGAAGAAAAGUUUGUCGUUAAUAGCGGCAAGCCCUGACAUUACCUUUAGAAGAAGCACCGGCUAACUCCGUGCCAGCAGCCGCGGUAAUACGGAGGGUGCGAGCGUUAAUCGGAAUUACUGGGCGUAAAGCGCGCGUAGGUGGUUUGUUAAGUCAGCUGUGAAAGCCCUGGGCUCAACCUGGGAAUUGCAGUUGAUACUGGCAGGCUAGAGUACGAGAGAGGGAGGUAGAAUUCCAUGUGUAGCGGUGAAAUGCGUAGAUAUAUGGAGGAAUACCAGUGGCGAAGGCGGCCUCCUGGCUCGAUACUGACACUGAGGUGCGAAAGCGUGGGUAGCAAACAGGAUUAGAUACCCUGGUAGUCCACGCCGUAAACGAUGUCUACUAGCCGUUGGGAGACUUGAUCUCUUAGUGGCGCAGCUAACGCAAUAAGUAGACCGCCUGGGGAGUACGGCCGCAAGGUUAAAACUCAAUGAAUUGACGGGGGC
rnacentral:rRNA from 1 species